rnacentral:lncRNA from 1 species
UAGGGGUGAUAAUUAUUAGGGGAAGUGUGCCUAAUAUCGAACCCUUCCUAAUAUCGAACCCUUCGAUAUUUUGGUGACGAGGAGAAGGAGGGGAGGGCAGUUAUCUCCAACGUGUUUUUAUUCAUUCUAAACGAACCUUUUUCAGGUACCGCUGGAAUUUCGUUCAAUAUUGAUGGAGUUAUAGAGACAAGUUUUUUUUUCGAGUCCUCAAAUAUUUUUAGUGUUGAUAUUAAUGUUCAAAUAAUUAUACCCCAAGGUAAGAUUUUUAAAUUAUUAUUUGUUAAAUUUAAAUUAUUAUUUUAUCUUCUUUAGGCAGAUCUCUUUAUAAUUUUUGUAGCUGAUAUAGUUUUUAAUAUUUUUUUAUUUUUUUGAAAACAUACAGAUAUUCUUAAUAUCGAACCCAGGGUAAUUACUGCAGUUAUCACCAAGGAAAUGGGAUUGAAGAUAGCCAUUAGAACAUUCAACGUUCCCAAGACAACACUGCAAAACAAACUGCACCAGCAAGAUGAAAAUGUGAUGAACAAAUUGGGAAGAAAACCUACACUCCCCCGCUGAACUGGAGGAUGCGGUUGUCCAAUAUUGCCUUGUUAUUUUCCGUAUGCCUAAUAUCGAACCCUGGGUUCGAUAUUAGGCACACAUUUUUUAAAUGUCCAAAUUUUUACUUUUUUGAAUUUUAUUUUUUAUUUUUUUUAUCUUGUGCAAUAAAGAAAAUUGAUAAUACCUUGAUAAACUAGAUUACAUUUCAAAUAUAUGGACACUUUAUUUUCUCAUUUUACACUUCCAGGGACUGAAAUAUUAGUCAAAAAGUAAAUGGGUUCGAUAUUAGGCACACUUCCGACUAUUUCCA